AGUGAACGUUGGCGGCGUGGAUUAGGCAUGCAAGUCGAGCGAGAACCGUAGCAAUACGGGGACAGCGGCGAAAGGGACAGUAAUGUGUAGGUACCUACCUCCGGGUUCGGGAUAGCUGCGGGAAACUGCAGGUAAUACCGAAUAACGUCUCCGGACCAAAGGUGUGAUUCCACCUGGAGAGGGGCCUGCAUCCUAUUAGCUAGUUGGGGAGGUAACGGCUCACCAAGGCGACGAUGGGUAGCGGGUGUGAGAGCACGACCCGCGUCAUUGGGACUGAGACACUGCCCAGACACCUACGGGUGGCUGCAGUCGAGGAUCUUCGGCAAUGGGCGCAAGCCUGACCGAGCGACGCCGCGUGCGGGAUGAAGGCCUUCGGGUUGUAAACCGCUGUCGUAGAGGAGGAAAUGCAGGGGGGUUCUCCCCUCUGUUUGACCUAUUCUAGGAGGAAGGACGGGCUAAGUUCGUGCCAGCCGCCGCGGUAAAAC
rnacentral:rRNA from 1 species